GCCCGCUUGGCGGAAUUUGGUAGACGCAAGGGACUUAAAAUCCCUCGGCCUUUUGGCCGUGCCGGUUCAAGUCCGGCAGCGGGCA
rnacentral:tRNA from 1 species